rnacentral:lncRNA from 1 species
UUGAAGGUUAAGCCGCUGCAGGAUAACGCCAUUUGUGGUGGUUUUGCUGAGCUUAGACAUAUAUUUGAUGAAUGGAGAAAGGGGAUAGGAAUUUGAGGAGAAAUCUGAUUGCGAUGGAAUAAUGCUUGACUGAAGUUUGAGAUCGGGAUAGAAGAAAGCUCAACUGUGUGCAUAUAUCAGAUCUGCUACAAAAGGAAGGGUAUUUGAAGGAAAUGUAUAUGGAGGUUAUCGACGACGUGGGCAGAGAAAGAUGGAGAUAACCACCAGCUAUGGAAACU